UGUAUUCAGUGGUGUGUGUGUGUGUGGUGUGUGUGUGUGUGUGGUGUGUGUGUGUGUGUGUGUGUGUGUGUGUGUGUGGUGUGUGUGUGUGUGUGUGUGUGCGUGUGCGUGCGUGUGUUUACUUGAGAGCCUCACAGAGAGACAGAGGCACAUACAGAAAGAGACAGACAUAUUGAAAAAAGUGAGAGAGAGAGAGAGAGAGAUGUGAGUUUUUCCCAGGUGAUAUGUGCCACUGACACUGCACAAUGGCCAAUGUCGACUUUCUCCAAAAGCUCCUCAUAGUGCACACUUCAAGAAAUACAGCUGAGUGUGGUCAACAGUGACAUUCAGUCCAUGCAGGUAACAAAAGCCUCCAUACUCUCUGGACCAUGUUCAUAUCACGGAACAGUCCCUGAGUUUUCUUGAGCAGCACCAACAAUGUACUGACGUGUGUUCUGUGUCCUUCUAGGUGUCCCUGAGGAGGAAAAGAUGUGGGCCGUUCCUGUCAGGAGACACCAAGGUGUUGCUGAGGUUGCUGAGGGAGAAACAGAAUAUGGUGUCCCUGAGGAGGAAAAGAUGUGGGCCGUUCCUGUCAGGAGGCAGCAGGAUGUUGCUGAGGUGGCCGCGGGAGCAACGAAAUAUGGUGUCCCUGUGGAGGAAAAGAUGUGGGCUUUUCCUGUAAGGACACACCAGGCUGUUGGUGAGUUUCCUGUGGUCUCUGGAACCAUGGAGAAUGGUAGGUAUUCAGGAAUCAAUCAUUUGCUGUCUUUAGUCAGGGGAGUGCUUCUGAUUUUGGGUUUCCACUGAAAGGAGGAUCACAGACGUAGUGACAAAGCGAUUUGUCGAAGGGUAAACCAUGUUUAUGUGUGUACAGGCACUCAUGUGGCAUUCAGGUAGUGAGUUUCUGUGCGUGGAGACUGGGUGAGUCUCUUUGUGAACUGACAAGUGUGUGAAGUGAGCAUGUAUGUGCUUGUAUGUGGUCUCUGUGUGAGAAGUUUAUGUUCCUCUAGAUUAACAUGUCCCUAAAGAGCACAGUUGCUGGUGUGAACUUUGCCAUUCAUAAGAAAAAUCCCAUCACCGAGCUUCAUGAUGUGUGUCUGUAUGUCAAAGGAUAUAAAUACGGACAAUUUAAAUAUAGUUAGUAUAUUAUACACCAGAUAUAGCUUGUUUAGGCUGAAAAAAGUCCUAUUAAUAGCCAGGAAAACAUUCACAGGAUUCUGAACGGGAAAUAUGUUUUCAGAAUCCAUGGGAGUCUGUGAAUCAUGACUUCAGUUCAAGGUAGACCUCAACUCCGAGGAGGCUGUUUCAUUGCCUUCAGGGCACUUGGAUCGAUCCUGAUUAAGGAGAAGGAGCCCUAAUGGUAUCUAAUUGGCCUCUGAGGAAAGGAAGCUUAUGGAAGUGAUGAAUGAUGGAGGGGUUGGCAUGGGCUGUGGGGAUGGGGGCUGGACGGGGAGACGAGGCCCUUUAACCCCCAAUUCCUAGUACUUUCUCUCACGCCUCUACUUUCUGAGGCAGACCCUGAAUUUCUAGGCUGAGGUUGUCAUCAGUAAUAAUUUCAGUCCUUGCUCCUGAUCCUCCUUGUGUGGGGCACCCGCCAGUGCCGAGACUAGAGUGAUCCCAGAGUCCUUGCUCCAUCAUACUUCAGCAGUAAAGGGAUAACUGCCCCAGGGUUACUGCCUUCCUGCCCCUCCUAUCCUUUCUAAAAAGGAGAUUCAAGGAGCCUGGGAAGGAAUCCUCCCCCUCUUAGCUGGAGGGCUGGGGCAGGUGGCCCCUGGUGCAGGCAUAUGCCACACCCAGUUCUGGAGGG
ensembl:lncRNA